UGGUAGCAACAGAGAAAGACAGUGACUCAGU
rnacentral:piRNA from 1 species